rnacentral:sRNA from 1 species
AAAUAGCCCCGAUUGCAGUGGAAAUCCUUUUAUCUUGAUUUUUCUCAAGAUAUAAGAUUGGAACGUAAAGCGGGACAGUUC